ACGGGAGGCAGCAGUGGGGAAUAUUGCACAAUGGGCGAAAGCCUGAUGCAGCUAUGCCGCGUGUAUGAAGAAGGCCUUAGGGUUGUAAAGUACUUUCAUCGGGGAGGAAAAAACAAAACUAAUAAUUUUAUUUCUUGACGUUACCCGAAAAAGAAGCACCGGCUAACUCCGUGCCAGCAGCCGCGGUAAUACGGAGGGUGCUAGCGUUAAUCAGAAUUACUGGGCGUAAAGAGCACGUAGGUGGUUUUUUUAAGUCAGAUGUGAAAUCCCUGGGCUUAACCUAGGAACUGCAUUUUGAAACUGAAAUACUAGAGUAUCGUAGAGGGAGGUAGAAUUCUAGGUGUAGCGGUGAAAUGCGUAGAUAUCUGGAGGAAUACCUGUGGCGAAAGCGGCUUCCUAAACGAAUACUGACACUGAGGUGCGAAAGCGUGGGGAGCAAACAGGGAUUAGAUACC
rnacentral:rRNA from 1 species